UACGUAGGGUGCGAGCGUUAAUCGGAAUUACUGGGCGUAAAGCGUGCGCAGGCGGUUUUGUAAGCCAGAUGUGAAAGCCCCGGGCUCAACCUGGGAAUGGCAUUUGGGACUGCAAGGCUUGAGUGCGGCAGAGGAGACUGGAAUUCCCGGUGUAGCAGUGAAAUGCGUAGAGAUCGGGAGGAACAUCUGUGGCGAAGGCGACUGCCUGGACCAGCACUGACACUGAGGCACGAAAGCGUGGGGAGCAAACAGG
rnacentral:rRNA from 1 species